AUCCGCGUUAUGUGAUCUGGGCAGUGGACAAAAAGCCGGCCAGUUGCUGUACUGUAUCUGACACACGAUUUGUGUCUUACAUUCACGUUAAAGGUAAGUUUGAUGUCUAAGAUUAAAGGUAGCGUUAAGUGGUUUAAUGAAUCUAAAGGUUUCGGUUUCAUUACUCCGGAAGAUGGUAGCAAGGACGUUUUCGUUCACUUUUCUGCCAUCGUUAGCAAUGGUUUCAAAACGCUCGCUGAAGGCCAGCAGGUAGAAUUUGAAAUCACCAAUGGCGCUAAAGGCCCAUCUGCAGCUAACGUUACCGCGAUUUAAGCGACGCACUAGCCGCUUUGCUGAAAACCCGCUCCGAUGAGCGGGUUUUUUAU
rfam:Serratia marcescens FGI94, complete genome.